rnacentral:sRNA from 2 species
GAACCAGUCUCGCUGAAUCUCCUAUGACGGAGAACGGGGGAACCAAUACGGAUUGCAGUUGGCGAUAGCCUGUAUGCGUUCGUAUUCGAUUUCUUUCCAGGGUCUAUGGGGUGAAUUCAAGGUCAUUGCGCCAUGAGCGAAUGUACUGAGAAAGGGCGGCUCUCUUUCGCCCGAACCCGACAGCUAACCUCGUAAGCGAAUAAGAGAGGUCAC